AUUGCACUUUCUGCAUUAGAGUAUGUACACUAGAGACACCAAAGCGUUCUUCAUUGCGGUGCAACAUAACCAAAAUUCUGUUCUCUGUUACACAUAUUCUGAAAAAAUGGCAGAUGUCAGGUUACUCAUCCAGGAAGAAGGUCGAGCAGCCAGGAACUUGGUAGCUUUUAAUGUGCCUGUAGGCACAAAUAACAUAGAGAAGAUUACCAAAAAGCCACCCAGUGUACCAAGGCAAUCUCAGUCAAGUUCAACAAAGCGGUCAAUGAAACCAACCACAAGAGUAAGAUCUGCUUCUACAGGUCGUGAUAAAAAAUCUGAAUUACAGGCACGAUAUUGGGCCUUCCUAUUCGGAAAUUUACAAAGGGCAGUUGAUGGUAUUUAUCAAACGUGCGAAGAGGAUGAGAGUAUUUCUGAAUGCAAAGAAGUAAUUUUAGUGCUGGAAAAUUAUACCAGAGAUUUUCAUAAUUUAAUAGAAUGGUUUAAAGUUAAGUGGGCUUAUGAAAAUUCACCGCCACCAUUAAGACGAACUCCCUUGGCUUGGGAAGUUAGAAAAACUUCGCCCUGUCGAAUAUGGAACGCAACAGUAAUUCCAAAAUCUACCAGCCCCUUGCAAAGAGCAAGUCCGACCGAAUCCAUUUGCAAAAGUCCGGUGGACCAAACCAUAUGCGAAAGUAAAACGAUCGUAACGGACAACAAAAUUAAUAAUGUAAAAGAAGAAUAUGUCCAUAAGUUAUUAAAAGAUAAUAAGAAUAAUGUCUGCAAAAGCUGCUUCACCGAUAUUAAAGAAAAGCGUAAGAAUGGAAUAGACAAGGUAGGAAAUCAAGUCACAAAUAAAGAAAAAUCUACAUCGACGAAAGCACUGAAUAAAAGUUUUGUAAAACAAUCUGUGCAAUCAAAAACGAAUAGUUUUGUGGAUCGAAAGACAUUAAAUGAUAGUGUGACAUGUGAUUUAAAGAAUAAGGUAGAUGUUAGAAAUAUUUCUAAGCACACAAAGGAGUAUUCGCACGCGAACGCUGUAAAGCUAGUUGAUUCUAAUUUAUCUCUAGAGAAACAAGCAUGCAAAAGUGAUAAAAAUGUUCAGCUGAGUCCAUGUGCUCCUUGCGAGCUCACGCAAAAAGAAGUAAACGUUAAAGAUAGUAAAACAGAUAGCAAAUUACCAUGUAAUAAAAAUAACGUUGGAUUAGGAAAAACUGAAGUUAAGAUAAAAAAUGAGAUUAAUAUUAAUGUUAAGAAAGAUAAUAUUAAAAAGUGUGAAAACGUUAACGCCGAAAAGUUAAGUGGAAGAACACCCAUUGACCAGAGUAUCUCUGAAAAAAUAAUUCAAGUUGAUUGUCAAAUAGGUAAGCACUCCGAUGAAACCGAUGACAAAUCAAGUAACAAGGAUACUCCGAGUUGUACAGUAAAUGUAUCAUCUAAUGCAUAUAAUCACUUAGAUAAAGCUCCGACGGUAGCUGACACAAGCAGACCUGCCUAUUCAACUGUGUCGCAAACAAAAUCUAAACCGCAAUCGUCAACUUCGUUCGAAACUCCAAAGUUUACUCGAAGCAAGACUUGCUUGAGCGACAAAAAUUUACCUGCUUCACGUAAAACCAGGCCUGGCACCUCCGUUAUAGUGAGGGGACGCUUCCAAACUCCUGAAAACAAGUUAUCUGAUCAAAAUGCUCUGAAGAAAGAUCAAAAUAGAGAUAUAAAUGGAUCAGUAGAAGUAUUAACUAAACAAACAGCAGCUUCAAAGACAAAAGAUGAAAGUGACGGUUGGCAAACGGUUAGGACCCGUUGUAGGAGAGGGAGCACUCAUAAUUUAAAUAUGUCCACCCGUUUCCAUAAACCGAGCACUGCUCUGUCCUUACCAGCUUUAUCAAUAGAAAGUCCAUCGGAAAAGAUAAAGAAGACCAGUUACACUCCUGAUGGAAGCAACAAACAAAAGAAGAAAUGCAUUGUAGGAAAGACGGGCAAAAACAUGAAUAACGAGGUUGAGAAAGUUAAGGGAGAAUAUAUGACAUCUACGAUUAAGAGCAAUCUCGAAGAUACACUUAAAAAGAAUACGCUAAACUUGUGCGACACUAAUUCAACGUCAGUGAUUGCAGCCAUCUUUAAGAACGAUGCUGAAUUACUUGAGAAACGCAUGCAACAGUUUAUGGCCGCCCAAGCGGAAAGAGAGAGAAUCAUCUUAGAGGAAGAGAGAAAGACGGAAGAAGCAGAUUCUCAAAGGUCUCAGCAGUUAUCGGACGAAGAGGCAUCCUUAAAGCGGCAAAUUUUGGAGUUGGAGUCAACCGAGAUCGACAUUGACACAGAAACGGAUGAGACGGAUGGCGAAAUGGUGCUUGAAAUGGAGGACGAGCCCGUAGUACCACUCAGUGUCGUUGCUGAUGACAUUAGCUUAGAAGAUAGAUACGAAAAUAUGUUGGAAGGAAUGUCCUGGGCAGAACGAGUUGAUACUCUCGCACAGCUGCGCGCAUUGGUGGCUCGCCAUCCCGGACGCGCUUUGGAGUUGCACCAAAAGCUUUCGUCUCCGUCACGGAAAAGGUCGCUUCCUGAAACGUUAAGAAGAUAUCAAGCAAAGCAAGCCUGCGCGCAGCACAAGCGUCAAAAACUAUUAAUGGAAAAAUCGCAACGCCUGCGAGAAUUACUGAAUAAAGUGGAGGACGUUAAGAGUGCGAAAAAUCAGUUGAUAGAAGACAAAAGAGUCAGAAUGGAAAUGAGACUCAAGAGAGCGGAGGAGAAUCGAACACAACACUUGCUGGAAAUAGUAAGAAAGGCACAUGACGAAGAUUCCAAAUUAAAGGAAAUAGCGUUUAUCAACGAACUCGAAGCACAAAAUAAGAGACACGAUUUUAUGGCGCUCUGUCAAGAACAAGAAGAAAGAUUACAGGGCAUUCAAGAAGAACGUCAACGUCGCCAAGAGGAGAAAGCUGCGAAAGAAGCCGCCGCUGAAGAACGUCGAAGGGCCUUGGAAGCGGAACGGCAGCUACGGAUACAGAGAAUGAAACAAGCGCGCCGUGAACGUGAGGAGAGAGUUGGCAAAAUGCAACUUGAAAGAGAAAAGGAACGACAAGAAUUGGCAAGAGAAAAGGCACGAGAUCGCGAGGAACGCUUGUCGGCGCUUCACGCGGCUCAGCUUGCGAAUCAAGAAGAGUUACAGAAGAAAAUAGCGCAGAAGCAGCAAGAAUCCGCCAGGAGGCACGUGGAGAACAUCGAGCAUAUUCGGCAGCGUGCGGUCGAAUCCUCGAUUUUGAGAUCGGAAGAGGUGCCGCCCAUCCUCAAAUCUUAUCCCGCUCAGAAGCAAUGUUCUCUGUGUAGCACCAUCAUAUCUAACGAGGUGCACCUCCUGUGCCACUUGAAGGGAAAGAUGCACCUCGAAGCAGUGCGGACAGCACACGACAAUCGUGAACCGUCCCGUGACGAGCUCCAACGUUUCAACAUAGCGCAGAUACGAGAUGUCCCUGUCGCCGUAGUGAAUAACAACAACGCAGACAGCAGCAAAGCUGCGAAGGAGAAGCAGAAAGCGUUAAAACGCCGGUGCAGAAAGAUAAAGCAGCGCAUGAGUUUACGCGGACAGGAGUGGGAAGAUAAAUACAAGAGCGACGCUAAUCAAAAUUUAUCCGCCGAAUCGGCGAACAAGGCGAAAUUUCGGCGCAAUUUGAAAGAGCUAGAUAAGCUGUACAAUAAUCAUUCCAAAUCUGCGUGGUCGACUGUAGCGCUCGCUGCUUUGGAGCGCUGCCUGGGCGAGAUUGUUCGAGCAUUCUCGAAAUCGUGCCCAUUCGAUCAAGAUGCUUUCCGAUGCUUGAAUGGAUUCGAUAUCAUAAUAAACUUGUUAAAUCUAGGCUUAAAUACACAAAACGCAUCACAUAACUUACCAAAUAAAGCAAUUAUAUCGUUAUGUCGAGUCUACACAGCAGGCAUCAAUGGAAAUAUUAAAAAUGUAGAAGCCACUUUGCUGAGCAACAACAUUCUUGUUAUUUUGGACUUGCUUUUGCAACGUUUAGAGACUUUGACUAGUCUCGAUGACCAUGCUCAGACGCAGGAUGUAUCUACCAAUUCAACCGGAAAUGGAAUAGUAGCUGCUAGCGCGACGCAAUUGCUCUGCAGCCUGAUCCCUGAAGAGCCCUUUGAGAAAACGGUUUUGCAGAUGCGAGUUCAAGAUAUUGCUGGUUGAUGGAUGAGAGUCAACGACCUACAGAGGCAAUCAAUGCGAUUCGACCUUCUUCCGUAAGCGAACACUCUUAAAAGAGAGAGAGAGAGGGCCGUCGAUGAAGCCUUGAAUGACAAGCGUCGACAUGAUUGCUGGAGAACAUCAUAGAAAAAGUCAAGUCUGCACACAUUCUCCUAUCGCUAAUCCUGAUCAGUUGCUGCGCAGGGAUUAAAUGGGCUUUCGAUCAGCUUGUCGACGUCCACGAGUCUAAAUUUUCCUUAGCGCGCCCGCGGCUUCUCGCUCUGCUCUCGUGCCCUCCGUCUAUUGUUAUACGGAAUUAAAGGACUACGUCUUAAUCGCACGUAGAAAUGACGCCCUUCCUAUCAGAGUUUUAAGCCUGCCGCAUAAUCGUCGGAGCAACACACUUGCGAAAACGAGUAUGAUUCACACUGGGCUUCAACAAAGUCGUCAAAAAUGCGAUAAGUUUUCGAUAACGCUUCUAUCUUUACAUAUAUGUUACUAAAAAUUUUUCAGAAAUGUUGUAAUUGUUUCUUACGAAUUUUUAUUAAUUCCUCUAAUUCAGAUUACUUAUGUUCGAUUCAGAAAUUUCUCAUUGUUCAUCAUGCUCAGCAAUUUAAAGUACCUAAUGAAGAAUUAACUCCUUGCAAACAUUAACACACACGGAUCUCGGAUGUUAAACCACGCACGAGAUGUUUCAAAAGGUUUCCGCGCUAAUGGCUGCGGUCGAGAGAGAUCAAUCUUCGAUAUUGAAAGGCGGCAGUUCCGUUAAAAAGCAAAAAAAAUUCACGAUCAAGUCAGUUCGAGAGGAUUACCGUUACGGUUCCCCGUGAGAGAAAAUCAGCCGGCGGUGUCUUGAUGAUUCGCCACGAGUCAUCAGCGUACUGCGCGAGGCUGCUGUGCCGGGAAGGAAGCGAUCGGCUGCGCAUUGUCGCGAAGAUGACUCGCGACGGCGAAAUGAUUGUCAGAGAGCCAACGAAUGCGUCAAACUGUCGCAUUAAUUAAUGCGCCUGCAUAGGCGUAUGGCGGUUCGUGUGCAUUUACUUAACGUAAUAAGAUUUCCGUCGGCUUCUUCCCUGCCACGAGCUUCCUCCUCGCCUCCUCGCUCUCCCGUUCGCGCGCGCGCGCGCGAGGUAGGGUUUAUUACGAAAAUGAAAAGGCUACAUUUUAGUCUACGUGCAACGUGAUUAAAUCGGGGAGUUGCGCGAAACGAGAUUAGACGGCGAAACGACGGUGCGCCGGCUGUGCCUCUUUGAAGAGCGGCGAGCAAAAUCUAUUUUAUUAAUAUAACGGUGCUGCUGUUUGAUCUGAUAAUUUAGUUUCGCCGUCCUAAAGAGCAUCCUCCUCUCUCUUUCUCUCUCCCUCUCUGUCUCUGUCUCUCUCUCUUCUCCGUUUUUUUUGUACUUGCCACGCCAAAGGCUCUCGCGGGCGCACCUCGUAGUGCACCGUCGACAUCUCCCAGUGGGCAUUUUCGAACUUCUUUCCUGGGAAACCCCCGAGCGCCCCUCCCCGUUCGUUCUUAUCGAUUUUAUGUAAGUAGAUUUGACGCGAGAGGAAAAUAGUAAAUGAAUGUUGAUGGCAAUGGGUGGCGGCUUGGGUAUAUUAUACUCGGAUACGUUGACUGUACAGGAUGCUGCAAUAAACGUUUACAACAAGAAUGGUUGAAAUGUGCAACGUACAAGAUCCACCUCAGGCGAACCUCUUGGGACGAAUGAGUAAAUUCGCACGCGUAAAACUGAUGUUGAGAUUCGCGGAUUUACGAGGGCAUCAAAGCAUCAAAAUCAGGACCGUUUUAAAGCGCAUUUAUACUGCGAUGAACAUAAGCUUCCGGAUUCAGAGAUUGGAUUGUUUCGAGUUGGAUAUUUUUAGUCCUACCAUUCGAUAUCGAUGGUUCAAGAGAUAAAUCCACACAAGUUUAAUAUUUUGUUAGAACGAGGCUGUAGAAAAGAACGCGACGUGGACAAUUUCUGCUCAGUCCGAAUAUAUCCGCACAACCUUUCAUUGAAACAAAGGAGGUUGCAGGAGAAGAGCGCGUAUAAUUGACGAAAAUUUUGCGAACGAAGUCAGCGCCUCGCCAACCGGAAACCGAUCCUUUUACGUUGGACGUAGUCCAGCGGGCAAAGUCGCGCACCUGUCACGAUCAUGGGGGACGGCGGAGGGGAAGCAGUGGCAGCGGCGCGGGCGCGUCUAAAAGCGCGAGGGUGGGCUCGUCGUAGUCGGCAAGAUCAUCGGCGGUCGUGGAAGAAAGGGGAGAAGAAGAGAAAACAUCGCGGGGGGUGAAUGAGCGAGGCGGGCUGGGCUACGUAAUCUGCUAAUGGACUCUCUCUCCACCCCCGUCUCUCUUCGUUCCCUCCUUCUCGCUCCCUCUCUGUUUCUCUUCGUCCAAAUUCACCCUCGGCCGGUACACACCCCCGAUGCCCUCCCAACCCUCCUACGAAAGGCCUCGACUCAUCCCUCCGUGUCUCUCCAUCUACUGUUCUCUCUCUCUCUUUCUCUCUUUAUUCUCUUUCUCUUUCUUUGUACUGAGCUAUUGGCGACCUACGCGCACACGCCCAGUCAUUUGGUAUUCUUCGUAUUCCGGUUACGUUCUUUUUCCUACGUGUUGCACGCAGGAUUGGUCGAUACACCAUGGAUCGGUCAGUAUUUAUAGAUAGGGUGUUGAAAAAUUACACGUGCAAACUUUAGGAUCGUCGGUCGGGGAUUAAAAACUCAGAAAACGAAAUACCAUUUUGCUUUCUGAGUUAAGCAAAAUGAUUUUUCAUGAAUUAAUUUUCAUAGGAAAAAUAGAUAAUAGAUCUUUAUAUGGUAGUAUCAAAUAAAUUCGCUUACUUGCGAAGAGUAGCAAAGAAAUUAUCUUUGCAGAAAUUCGUCUCACUACUAAACGUAGGAUGUACAGCUAUUGCUUAAUUAAUAUCUUUUCAUAUUGAAAUCCAGACAUGCAAAUAACCCGGUUAAAUAUUACAUUGAAUCCACGAAUGGCAGGUGGUAUCGUUCGCGCGCAUAAAUAAUGAGUUAAAUUAUUACUGACAAUGCACACCGACCGAAUUAAUUAUGAUGACAUUGUAUUUUACCUUGUAAACGUUACGUUGCAAGCAAUAAGUCCUUCUCAUUUUCGAAUUAUUAUUAAUUAUCGGAUUGAUUACAUAAUGAAUGCGUCGUUUUAUUUUAAAAACGCACAUGUACAAUUUUAAUGAAGAUAUAAGAACAAUAAAGAUUAAAGCAUGCACUUUUUUCACACUGAUGUUCUUAUUCAUGCACAAAGAGAAUACGAAUUCGCUAAUUUCAUCAGAUACUACAAUUAUUAAUUGUAUCGUGUUUUUCUUUUUCAGUUUCAAUCUUGAAUCGUGUUUUGAAAGUUAUGCAAAGUCAAAUCUCUCGCGUUUCGUUAAAAUAAACGGGUUAUUCAUGGUUAUUUAUAUUGUAUCUCAAAGAUGGACAGUACAUACAAUAGUUACAAAACUUUUUGUCUCACAAUUUUUUAAAUGCUAUUUAUUUUCGCUCCGUUAUUCUAUAUCAUCGUUAAAAUUUAUGUUUAAACUAAAUUCUGUCUGAGACGAACGUUACUGCAUUUAAGAUCUAAUUGUUUCAUAUAUCGCGUUUCAUCAUAAAUUCAAGGUAAACACUAGUUUGGCGAUUCACCGUCAAUUUAGACCAGCAGAUGCAUUUAAAGUAUCAGCUGGCACAGCCGGGUGUUGGUCAGUGAUUCAUUUCCGAAGCCUUCCACUUCUGUACCUUAUUCCUGAGGAAUAAAUCUCUUCAUACAGCCUUUAAAUGCUACACUAAUCGAAGUUAUAAUAUCAGGCAAACAAGAUUUGUAUAAUACGUUUAUCUGACAAAGUUUUCUUUAAUAAUAAAUUGAUAAAACUGAAUUUGUUUACAAUCUGCAGUUUUAAUUUCAUUAAUUUUUAAACUUAAGAUUGCAUUGAGUUUUGCAAUUUCGAGAACCCCGAAACACACACGAGGAGAAGAAUCUUCAGUAGCAAUAAUAGUGCUGUCAACAACAGCAAUGACAAGAGCGGCGAUAGUAAUGGGAACCGCGGGAUUGAAGCGGAGUAUUUGAUCAGGCGAGAUAGGGGCGCAAGUAGAAAUAGGCAGAGCGGCUGUUCUUGUUCCCAUUCUGCUAAGUGGCAAGCUUCAGCGUUGUCUAUUAUCCUCCGUACACCCACCCUGCAUGGGGCUAGCUUUAAACGACGGAGAAGAAAUCCGGUGUUGACUCUGACACAGGGAAAUACAUUGUACUGUCCCAAAAAUAACGUCCCGCUGAGGUUCCGUCGCAAAUAUUUAUGGUGGCGGUGUUCGGAAAAAGUGUGUUAGUAAAUGUAAAAAUGCAGAAAUAUUUCUUUUCGUUCUCCAUUCUUAAUACUUAAUACAGCCGGUUGCAUUGAGCUUUAUGCUAAUAGAUAAUGCUUUUUUUCUUUUAAUUUCUUGUAAAUAUUUCCAGUAUAUAUUUUUCAUACUGAACUGCGCUAACUAAAUUGAUCACUCAAGCAUGUGACGUUUAUUUUAGAGAUAUUUCGCUCAUAUUUCGUUUUCUACCGAGGAUGGUCGAUACGCUCUUAUGUAAGAGCACUAUUUUUAUGUAAAUAUAGUAAAUGCAACCGCUGCCAUUUUGUACGCAACGUACGUAUCUCUUCCUCGGAAAUAUUGGAUUUCUGUAGGUAAACAUAAAUUAUUUUUAGAAAUUCUACUCCACGUAUAAACACGCGCGCAAACGGCGUACUUCGCCGAUGCGCGACGCGAAUACAUUUCACUGGCAUGUUCAUAACAUAUUGAAUAUCGGUAAAUGGUCUCCAGUCAACAGAGCUGAAAUCUGUUAUUAAAAAAUUCAGCUUUACAGGAAAUCGACGCACGGAUUUUGCACCACCGCUAAUAAUGGAUACUGGCGCAACAUUUUUAGCAGCUUCAAAUAGCCAUGAAGCUUUUUUUUAAAUACAUCAAACGCAAAUAUCAGAAGUUGCACUUUUAUCUCAAAAUAAUAGUUUAAAUCUAGAAAACUGGAAUAAACUAUAAUACAUUAAAUAGCGAUAUUUUGGUGACAAAGAUAAGAUAUUUAUAUAUUUUCUAUUUGUAACGAUUUGUAUCGAUUUGGCAAUUUAUAUUAAUACUAUCUUUUAUUACUUCCACAUUUUUAUGUUACCGUUUUUAUCUCAUUUACAUUUCCAUAUGUUUUCUAUAAUUUUGAAACUAUAUGUUUCUAGUAGCUUAUGUGACCAAUAGCAAUAUUUUAAUUAAAGCAAAAAGGGACUAUAUCACAUGUAUUCUAUCGAAAUCUACGUAUUUAUUUUGUUCGCAUUCAUUUGCGCAUCGUUCGAGAGAAUUUACAGUACGUUCAUCGAUACACCGUCGCUAUGUCUGGCCAAGUCAUGGUGUAGCACCCUUCACGUUCAAUCCCCAUACUAGAGCCCAGGGCUAUACGUGUGGAGUACUGUGGCGCGCUUCAUCCCCCGCGCUACCGAAAUCCCGGCGUGAAUGCAUUACGCAUCAACGAAUCCGGAGUAGCAAUAUCCUGAGUUGCUGGAUGUUAGAGCUCGGGGAGAUUAUAAUACAUUACCAAUUCGACGAAGACCAUGGCCAUUUGACCUUGUUUCAGACUUUAUUUCGCGUGUCGGCGUUCUCUCAUCGGCUUUUAACACGGAACCCAUUGGGUUUUGUUGAGCGCACACGCGAUGGCAUUUCAAGAUAUUAUAGUUUGACAUCGCAGUCGAGCAAUCUCACAUCUUUAAUAUCAAUACUAUCGUUUGAGACAUAAUGGCAAAAAAUAUGUCGUCAACAAUUUUAUUCGCAUGUCUGUUCCUUUUUACAUUAUUGAGAGAUCAAUUUGACAUGUUUUUUACCCACACUGAUUUAAAAUAAUGCAAACAGAAGAGACCAGUUGAAAUAUCGAGUAAGGGCAGAGUGGCCGUUCCUCUCUCCCUUUUUUUCCGACUCAAUGAUACGCGGCUGUCAUUUACACACUUUUGCCAUUUCGUUGCGCAAACAUGCCCUAUUGUCGAAAUAGCGAAAAUGGCACUUUUGCCAGACGCGUUCAUCCGAAGAGAAAUACUUUCUGGGAGCAUGUCCUCGUAUUGGACUUGAAUUCUGUUAUUCUUACAAUGGACAUUAUUUUUCUGACGACAGUGCAAUAUAUAAUAUUAAAUUAUUGAAUUUUAUAUGUAUGUGGAAGCAGAGUGCAACUAUUAACAGUUUAAAUCAUAAAUAUUUGAUUGAAAUAUCAAUUUAAUGAUUAAUUUAACAUGUUGUAAUUCUCAGUUUCAUAGGAUGAUGAAUAAUGGUAUAUCUUGCUCUCCUCAAUUCUUUUACGCUAUCAUUCACUUGUAAAUUUUUUUCUAGCAUGUAUGAUGAAGCACUUGUGUUUUCUGCCGUACGUAUGGAUGCAAAUUACAUUUUGAUUGAUUUACAACAUUAUUUUCGCAUGUUACGCGGAUGACCCACAAGCAUUCGCGAAAAAUUGUCGCGGAUCCUCCGCUAGAUGCACCGCCCGUUAUUCGUUCGAAUUAACCGAAAAAUCGUUUCCGUUUAUUUUUAUUCCGUUCCAUUUGUCAAAGUCGCGUAUUUUUAUCACCCACGCGACGCGCGUACCGAUAUCGCUAUAAAUGCACACAUGUAACACUUCGAAACUAUGUUUUCCGCCGAAAAUAUUUUUUAAUCCUCGCGAAUAGAGCUGCAAAUUGCUGAUAAAGAUCUGUUUCUCCACUGAUACAGAGUCAUUUAUCAUAUGCAUCAUGUCAUUCAUUAUAGACAUGCUUUAUUAUCACAGAAAUUAUUUAGACGUCACAUUUUGCUAAAAGAAAAUAAAAAAA
rnacentral:misc_RNA from 1 species